GAUGAAUGCUAGCGGCAGGCCUAAUACAUGCAAGUCGAACGGUCCACUUCGGUGGAUAGUGGCGCACGGGUGCGUAACACGUAUGCAACCUACCUUACAUUGGGGGAUAGCCUUUCGAAAGGGAGAUUAAUACCGCAUAAGACAGUAACAUGGCAUCAUGUAGCUGUUAAAGAUUUAUCGAUGUAAGCUGGGCAUGCGUCCAAUUAGUUAGUUGGUGAGGUAAUGGCUCACCAAGACGAUGAUUGGUAGGGGAACUGAGAGGUCAAUCCCCCACACUGGCACUGAGAUACGGGCCAGACUCCGACGGGAGGCAGCAGUAGGGAAUAUUGGGCAAUGGACGCAAGUCUGACCCAGCCAUGCCGCGUGCAGGAAGAAGGCGUUCUGCGUUGUAAACUGCUUUUAUAUAGGAAGAAACGACCCUUGCGAGGGGCAUUGACGGUAUUAUAUGAAUAAGCACCGGCUAACUCCGUGCCAGCCGCCGCCGUAACAC
rnacentral:rRNA from 1 species